UACGGGGGGGGCAAGCGUUGUUCGGAAUUACUGGGCGUAAAGGGCGCGUAGGUGGCGCGGGAAGUCAACGGUGAAAGUUCAGGGCUCAACCCUGAAUCGGCCGUCGAUACUCCCGGGCUUGAGCACUGUAGAGGCAGAUGGAAUUCCGGGUGUAGCGGUGGAAUGCGUAGAGAUCCGGAAGAACACCGGUGGCGAAGGCGGUCUGCUGGGCAGUUGCUGACACUGAUGCGCGACAGCGUGGGGAGCAAACAGGG
rnacentral:rRNA from 1 species